rnacentral:misc_RNA from 1 species
UACGGAGGGUCCAAGCGUUAUCCGGAUUCAUUGGGUUUAAAGGGUCCGUAGGUGGAAAAAUAAGUCAGUGGUGAAAUCCUGCAGCUUAACUGUAGAACUGCCAUUGAAACUGUUUUUCUUGAAUAUAGAUGAAGUGGGCGGAAUGUGUCAUGUAGCGGUGAAAUGCAUAGAUAUGACACAGAACACCGAUUGCGAAGGCAGCUCACUAAACUAUCAUUGACGCUGAGGGACGAAAGCGUGGGGAGCGAACAGG